rnacentral:rRNA from 1 species
GAUGAACGCUGGCGGCGUGCCUAAUACAUGCAAGUCGAGCGAACGGACGAGAAGCUUGCUUCUCUGAUGUUAGCGGCGGACGGGUGAGUAACACGUGGAUAACCUACCUAUAAGACUGGGAUAACUUCGGGAAACCGGAGCUAAUACCGGAUGAUAUUUUGAACCGCAUGGUUCAAAAGUGAAAGACGGUCUUGCUGUCACUUAUAGAUGGAUCCGCGCUGCAUUAGCUAGUUGGUAAGGUAACGGCUUACCAAGGCAACGAUGCAUAGCCGACCUGAGAGGGUGAUCGGCCACACUGGAACUGAGACACGGUCCAGACUCCUACGGGAGGCAGCAGUAGGGAAUCUUCCGCAAUGGGCGGAAGCCUGACGGAGCAACGCCGCGUGAGUGAUGAAGGUCUUCGGAUCGUAAAACUCUGUUAUUAGUGAAGAACAUAUGUGUAAGUAACUGUGCACAUCUUGACGGUACCUAAUCAGAAAGCCACGGCUAACUACGUG